UACAGAGGUCUCAAGCGUUGUUCGGAUUCAUUGGGCGUAAAGGGUGCGUAGGUGGCGCUGUAAGUCGGGUGUGAAAUUUCGGAGCUUAACUCCGAAACUGCAUUCGAUACUGCGGUGCUUGAGGACUGGAGAGGAGACUGGAAUUCAUGGUGUAGCAGUGAAAUGCGUAGAUAUCUGGAGGAACACCGGUGGCGAAGGCGGCAUCCUGGACCAAUUCUGACGCUGAGGAGCGAAAGCCAGGGGAGCAAACGGG
rnacentral:rRNA from 1 species